GGAACUCUAGGUGUAGCGGUGAAAUGCGUAGAUAUCUAGAGGAACGCCCAUGGCGAAGGCAGGCGGCUGGGCCGAUUCUGACGCUGAGGCACGAAAGCGUGGGUAGCGAACGGGAUUAGAUACCCCGGUAGUCCACGCCCUAAACGAUGUGCACUAGAUCGUGGCCGCUCUGACGCGGGCACGGUCGAAGCAAAAGUGAUAAGUGCACCGCCUGGGGAGUACGGUCGCAAGGCUAAAACUCAAAGGAAUUGACGGGGGCUCACACAAGCGGUGGAGCAUGUGGCUUAAUUCGAAGCAACGCGAAGAACCUUAUCCUGGGUUGAACUACGGCGGAUUAGCUGUUGGAAACAGCAGUGACGCGCUUGCGUGGAACGUCGAUAGGUGCUGCAUGGCUGUCGUCAGCUCGUGCUGUGAAGUGUCGCGUUAAGUCGCUUAACGAGCGAAACCCCUAUCGCUAGUUGCCAACGGGUUAUGCCGGGGACUCUAGCGAGACUGCCGGCGUUAAGCCGGAGGAAGGUGGGGACGACGUCAAGUCCUCAUGGCCUUUAUGCCCAGGGCUGCACACGUGCUACAAUGCCGACUACAGAGCGACGCAAUACCGCAAGGUGGAGCAAAUCGCAAAAAAGUCGGCCCAGUUCGGAUUGUGGUCUGCAACUCGACCACAUGAAGUUGGAAUCGCUAGUAAUCGCGUAUCAGCUACGACGCGGUGAAUGUGUUCCUGAGCCUUGUACACACCGCCCGUCAAGUCAUGGAAGCUGGGGGGACCCGAAGCCGCAUCAACUCAGAUGUGUCGAAGGUCAACUUGGUGACUGGGACUAAGUCGUAACAAGGU
rnacentral:rRNA from 1 species